rnacentral:tRNA from 1 species
GCACGUGGCUCAGUGGUUAGAGUGUUGGACUUCUGAGCAACGGGUCGCGGGUUCGAUUCUCGCGUGGUGCA